GGGGUCUUGAUGUAAUGGUAGCAUAACGGUCUCCAAAACCGUUUGUAGAGGUUCGAGUCCUCUAGACCCUG
rnacentral:tRNA from 1 species